rnacentral:lncRNA from 1 species
GUUGGAUGUCUGAAAGCAUCAUUCUUUUUUUAUUUGAUGGUCUUAUAAAAUAUUUUGGAAUGUUAUGGUUAUAUAGUUACCAAAGCAGGUAACCAGUAAAUAACAGUGUAAAAAUUGGGUUGUUUACUUCCGGCGGUGGUUACUUUCUUAUAUGCAAUGAAAUGUAGUGUGAAAUUUUCACUGUAUCACUGGAAAGGAUUGAACUUUACACAUGCAAAGUAUUUCUUUGGUUGAAAUAAAGGUAAAUACUGUACAUUUUUUUUAAAAGUGUCAAUUUAACAAAGACUAAUAGCGAAAAAUCAAUGGUGG